rnacentral:rRNA from 1 species
CUAACAAGGAUUCCCCUAGUAACGGCGAGUGAAGAGGGAAAAGCUCAAAUUUUAAAUCUACCUGGUUCUUCCCAGGUCGAGUUGUAAUUUGAAGAAGCGAUAUCGGUGUUGAGGUCUGGUUUAAGUUCUUUGGAACAAGACAUCAUGGAGGGUGAGAAUCCCGUGCAUGAUCAGACCAAGAUACACUAAGUAUAUGCUCUCUAAGAGUCGAGUUGUUUGGGAAUGCAGCUCAAAAUGGGUGGUAGACUUCACCUAAGGCUAAAUAUCAGCGAGAGACCGAUAGCGAACAAGUACUGUGAAGGAAAGAUGAAAAGAACUUUGAAAAGAGAGUUAAAUAGUACGUGAAAUUGUUGAAAGGGAAACGAUUGAAGUCAGUCAUGCCAGUGAAAAUUCAGUUUGGCGGGUUUCUCGUUUAGGAGUAGAGGCAGGGUUAAACCGUCUCUCUUUUAAACGGAUUCUUGUCAGAUGCAUUUUUUCUCUUGCAGGUCAGCGUCGGUUUCGGGGGUUGUAAAAUACUUGGGGUAAAGUAGCUCUGCUUCGGGAGAGUGUUAUAGACCUUGGGGGAUGCAACCCGCGGGAUCGAGGAUUGCAGCAAAUGCCUUUGGCUUGUCGCCUGAUCUCUGGAUGUUACCUUGCUUGCAACAACAUUCUUGUUGCCGGUGAGUACUAAUGCUCAUUAGGUUAGAGCAAAUCAAAAAUAUUGCUAAGGAUGC